rnacentral:rRNA from 1 species
UACGAAGGGGGCUAGCGUUGUUCGGAAUUACUGGGCGUAAAGCGCACGUAGGCGGAUACUUAAGUUAGGGGUGAAAUCCCAGGGCUCAACCCUGGAACUGCCUUUAAUACUGGGUAUCUUGAGUUCGAGAGAGGUGAGUGGAAUUCCGAGUGUAGAGGUGAAAUUUCGUAGAUAUUCGGAGGAACACCAGUGGCGAAGGCGGCUCACUGGCUCGAUACUGACGCUGAGGUGCGAAAGCGUGGGUAGCAAACAGG